ACCCGUCAGCGUUGCCUCGGCGGGCGGCCCCUCCCUGGGGCCGCUGCCUCCCUCGGGGGGUGCCCGCCGGCGUACCAAAACUCUUUUGUAUUUUAGUGGCCUCUCUGAGAAAACAAGCAAAUAAGUUAAAACUUUCAACAACGGAUCUCUUGGUUCUGGCAUCGAUGAAGAACGCAGCGAAAUGCGAUAAGUAAUGUGAAUUGCAGAAUUCAGUGAAUCAUCGAAUCUUUGAACGCACAUUGCGCCCGCCAGUACUCUGGCGGGCAUGCCUGUUCGAGCGUCAUUUCAACCCUCAAGCCCUGCUUGGUGUUGGGGUCCUACGGCUGCCGUAGGCCCUGAAAGCUAGUGGCGGGCUCGCUAUAACUCCGAGCGUAGUAGUAAAAUAUCUCGCUAGGGAGGUGUCGCGGGUUCCGGCCGUGAAAGCCCAUCUUUUACACAAGGUUGACCUCGGAUCAGGUAGGAAUACCCGCUGAACUUAAGCAUAUCAAUAAGCGGAGGAAAAGAAACCAACAGGGAUUGCCCCAGUAACGGCGAGUGAAGCGGCAACAGCUCAAAUUUGAAAUCUGGCUUCGGCCCGAGUUGUAAUUUGUAGAGGAUGCUUUUGGUGAGGUGCCUUCUGAGUUCCCUGGAACGGGACGCCAGAGAGGGUGAGAGCCCCGUAUAGUUGGACACCGAGCCUCUGUAAAGCUCCUUCGACGAGUCGAGUAGUUUGGGAAUGCUGCUCAAAAUGGGAGGUAUAUCUCUUCUAAAGCUAAAUACUGGCCAGAGACCGAUAGCGCACAAGUAGAGUGAUCGAAAGAUGAAAAGCACUUUGAAAAGAGGGUUAAAUAGUACGUGAAAUUGUUGAAAGGGAAGCGCUUGUG
rnacentral:rRNA from 1 species